rnacentral:pre_miRNA from 1 species
UAGGUACUCCCUCCGUCCUAAAAUUCUUGUCUUAGAUUUGUCUAAAUACGAAUGUAUCAAGUCACGUUUUAGUAUUAGAUACAUCUGUAUCUAGACAAAUCUAAGAGAAGAAUUUUGGGACGGAGGGAGUACAUG